rnacentral:lncRNA from 10 species
CCCGUCGGGAGACACGUUUUGUCAGUUGCUUCCUCUGGAGUCCUUUUAAAAGACUACUUUUUAGAGCAGUUUUCAUUUUACCGAUACAUCGAUCAGAGAGUACGGAGCUUCCCACAUUGCCUCCCGCACCCCAUAGCAGGCAGAGGCACCAGCCAGGCGCCAUCCUUUACAAGCUGUUUCAGCAAAAUGUCCCUGGGAAGGAAAUGACCGCAGAAGGGAGUGCACCGUGGGGGCAGGAGGUGCUGCGGCCAAUGGGCAGUGCUGGGAGAUGAAACCAACAGCGGCGAUUGCCCCAGAAAGAACUUGGCGCUGCUAAGGCAAUGGCGGCCCGAAAGAGGCCCCUGA